rnacentral:tRNA from 1 species
GAGGGUGUAGCUCAGUGGUAGAGCAUCUGCUUAGCAUGCACGAGGUCCUGGGCUCAAUCUCCAGUACCUCCA